GGAAAUAUGUCAAUGACUCAACUCUUUACAAAAACAAAUUAUUUAAUAGCAAGUGUUUUUAAUUUUUUUGUUGGGACUACAAUAGGGAUGACAGAUAAAAUUUUAAAGUGAGAGAGAUGAAAGAAAAAGGGUUGAGAGGAAUGAGGAAGNUAGGUAAGGGAAUGUGAGUUUCUUUUUUUUUAAAAUAAAAAUUUUGAGAAUAAAAAUUAUUCAAAUACCCUGACAUUAAAACUUAGAAUCCAUAAUAAUGAAGAUAUUUUUUAUUUACUAAGACCUGAUACACAAUUCUAAAAUGUACCAACUAAAAUAAACAUACACAAGUUAGCAAAUCUA
rnacentral:lncRNA from 1 species